rnacentral:piRNA from 1 species
GAUGUUGGACGUUUCGUGGAACC